CAAGUACUCCCUCCGUCCGGAAUUACUUGUCAUCAAAAUGGAUGUGUCUAGAACUAAAAAACAUCUAGAUACAUCCAUUUCACUAACAAGUAUUUUCGGACGGAGGGAGUACAAG
rfam:Triticum aestivum genome assembly, contig: Triticum_aestivum_CS42_TGACv1_scaffold_320378_4BL